GAAGGAUCAGAUUAUUAGGCUUGAUUUCUCUAAAGAGAAAAAAGUUCGCACAGUAUGUUCAGAUUCGAUCAUCUGGGGAAAUAAUCAUCACACCCAUAUCAAAUUAAAACCUAAUAAAGAGACAAAAACAACAAUACAUACACAGAUGAAUAUUCCCAAAAAAACACAGAAUAAUCAGCAUCUCAGGAUUACAUACAAAGAAUUAUUAACUAUACAAGUUGAGAAUGCAAUUAUGGAUCAGAUUAUUUGGCUUGAUUUCUCCAAAGAGAAACAAAAUCGCACAGUAUGUUCAGUUUCGAUCAUCUGGGGAAAUAAUCAUCACACCCAUCUUAUAAUUAUAAACUAAUUGUAAAAUUGUAAGCUUCCAAGUCUCUAACAUCAACAAUAAACACAAAUUUCAAUACACAUGCAAGUAUAUAUUACAAAUCAAUAAAUCAAUAAUUUUGAGUAACAAAUUUCAUAGUGCAAAAAUGGAUCAGAUUAUUUGGCUUGAUUUCUCCGAAGAGAAACAAAAUUCGCACAGUAUGUUCAGUUUCGAUCAUCUGGGGAAAUAAUCAUCACAUCCA
rnacentral:lncRNA from 1 species